AAAGAUUUCCAAAAAAAGGAAGGGGCCUCAAUUUUUUCCAUUUUCCCGCUCUUCAUCUGCUUCCCUCGCAUUCUUUGCAUCUGCGGCGCCGCGAAAUGUACAAACUCACUGCACAUACGCUCACCCAUCUCUUCCACGCCUCCCUCCUCUGCCUUGUCGCCGCUGCGCUCUAUUCUUCCUCACUAACUGGGGAGGAAGAUGCAGGCUUGUUGUUGGACACUCGAUCUCUUUACAUAUUCUAACUUGUGGAGAGUAUUACGAGCUUCCUGAACAUCUCUUAUGAUCCAACAACCUUCAUUCAAGUAUUCAAUAAUCCGAGGGAGCGGCUUUUCACCUUUGAGGAGAUAGAUGAAGUUCGAGAAAUGUUGGCAAACUUCAUUAUCAGUGAUUGUCUUUGAUAUUUUCUUGUAGUGAAUAUUAAAUUAUGGAUGUUAGUUUUUCAUAUGAUUGUAAUGUAAUCGACUUUUAUAUUUACAAUUAUAUACUAUUUAAUUUAAUUAUCUA